rnacentral:rRNA from 1 species
UGGGGAAUAUUGGACAAUGGGCGAAAGCCUGAUCCAGCCAUGCCGCGUGUGUGAAGAAGGUCUUAGGAUUGUAAAGCACUUUAAGUUGGGAGGAAGGGCAGUUACCUAAUACGUAAUUGUUUUGACGUUACCGACAGAAUAAGCACCGGCUAACUCUGUGCCAGCAGCCGCGUUAAUACAGAGGGUGCAAGCGUUAAUCGGAAUUACUGGGCGUAAAGCGCGCGUAGGUGGUUUGUUAAGUUGGAUGUGAAAUCCCCGGGCUCAACCUGGGAACUGCAUUCAAAACUGACUGACUAGAGUAUGGUAGAGGGUGGUGGAAUUUCCUGUGUAGCGGUGAAAUGCGUAGAUAUAGGAAGGAACACCAGUGGCGAAGGCGACCACCUGGACUAAUACUGACACUGAGGUGCGAAAGCGUGGGGAGCAAACA